rnacentral:rRNA from 1 species
GGGGGGGGGGGGGGGGGGGGGGGGGGGGGGGGGGGGGGGGGGGGGGGGGGGGCGGGGGGCGGGGGGCGGCGGCGGGGGGGGGCGGGCGGCCGGGGAAGCGGGCGGGUGGGGGGGGAUAACGUCCGGGAACGGGCGCUCGUACGGGCGACGGCGUGUUGGGGGAAGGGGGGGAACCUGGGAACGCACGGUCUCACGUGAGCCUAGGUCGGAUGAGCGAGGUGGUGGGGUAACGGCCUACCCAGGCGACGCUCCGGCACUGGUCUGAGAGGAUGAUCAGUCACACUGGAACUGAGACACGGUCCAGACUCCUACGGGAGGCAGCAGUGGGGAAUAUUGGACAAUGGGCGAAAGCCUGAUCCAGCCAUGCCGCGUGUGUGAAGAAGGUCUUCGGAUUGUAAAGCACUUUAAGUUGGGAGGAAGGGCAGUAAGUUAAUACCUUGCUGUUUUGACGUUACCAACAGAAUAAGCACCGGCUAACUUCGUG